GUACAAAUCUCCUCCUCCACCGU
rnacentral:siRNA from 1 species